GUUGUAGCUCAGUUGGUUAGAGCGUCGGAUUGUGGUUCCGAAGGUCGCGGGUUCGAGCCCCGUCUUC
rnacentral:tRNA from 2 species